rnacentral:rRNA from 1 species
GAUGAACGCUGGCGGCGUGCUUAACACAUGCAAGUCGAACGGAAAGGCCCUGCUUUUGUGGGGUUCUCGAGUGGCGAACGGGUGAGUAACACGUGAGUAACCUGCCCUUGACUUUGGGAUAACUCCAGGAAACUGGGGCUAAUACCGGAUAGGAGCUCCUGCUGCAUGGUGUGGGUUGGAGAGUUUCGGCGGUGGGGUAUGGACUCGCGGCUUAUCAGCUUGUUGGUGGGGUAGGGGCUUACCAAGGCUUUGACGGGUAGGCGGCCUGAGAGGGUGGACGGCCACAUUGGGCCUGAGAUACGGCCCAGAAUCCUACGGGAGGCAGCAGUGGGGAAUAUUGCACAAUGGGCGGAAGCCUGAUGCAGCGACGCCGCGUGCGGGAUGACGGCCUUCGGGUUGUAAACAGCUUUCGCUUGUGACGAAGCGUGAGUGACGGUACCGGGUAAAGAAGCACCGGCUAACUACGUG